GGGAGACUGUUCCUCCGAUGAAAAGCCCCUUGUUCUAAUGGACUAUUUGGUCCUCAUGAUACCUCUGCCUGUAGGGUCUCCAUCUUCUGUGCUCCACCCUGAGAAUCCUCUGGGACCUAGGCGGGAGGGUGUUCAGGCUUCCUGGCCUGUCCCCUGCUGGCUGCAGGGGGGAUUGCAUUUCUGGCCCAGGCGUCUGAGGGAGGAGGCCCUAGGCCUCUGGAGCAUGUUGAGACAGACACACUCUGGAAGACUGGCUUCCUGCCACCCUCCUGUGAUCCUGGUGGGAAGGGAAGUGGAGAGAACCAAAGGCACAAAUGCCCCUGUGCCUCUCAGCUGAGGCCCAGGGCACAGGCUCAGUAAGUCACAGAGGUCUGAGAAAGCCCAGUGUUGGCCCUUGUGAAUCAAGUCCACCCUCAUGGGAGAGACUAGGCAGCAAGUCCUCUCUGGCCUCUGGCUUUGGCCCGCCCUACCUGGGAGCUUUGGGGUUUGGCUAAACCUACAAGGGCAUUUGAAGGGAGCAUUCACCUGACCGUCACAGUGGAGGCAAGGGCCAUACCUGCCCAGCACAAUUUGGCUAUGUCACCACUGGGGAAUGUCACCUAUGAGGUGGGGCAGACAGAGUUGGCGGCCAGCCUCUCAGGAGCCCCCGCCCUGAGUCCUGCCCCAAGUGGGGCCUAUGGGGAAGUCCAGUGAGAAUACCCCAGGGGCCCAGGUCAGCUUCCCUCCUGACUCGUCUGGGCACAGUACACAGAUGGAGCAGAAUUGCCCACCUGGCACUGCCACUGCAGGAGUGCUGGACCCUCCCAGGGCCCUUGCAGGAGGGUGGAGUUGGGCAGGGCCCGCCCACUGGGUCCACCUUGUGCUCCAGCCUGGAGCGGGUACAGCCGGGAUUCUGGCUGGAGGAAGGUUCAGAGGGCCUGGGAGACAAUCCCCCCCAGUGGCAGUGAAAUUCUAACUCUCUAACCCUCCCCACUGCCCUCCCUCUCCCCUCCCCUGGCAGAGGGUGGCAGCCCCGUGCUCUUUGCAUAAUCCUGCGGCUUUGCUGUCUUGACUUCGCUGUCUUCACUUACCACACCACAGCAGGGGACAGCCGACGGGAAGGGCAGAGCAGGCCACCAUGGCAACACUCCUCUCCAACCCCCAGAGACGCCCUCCCCUCUUACGCCAGGCCAUCAAGAUAAGGCGCCGCAGGGUCAGAGACCUGCAGGAUCCUCUGCCCCAGAUGGAGACCAAGCCUCCAUCUCAUCAUCUGUCCCCAGAGGAGCGGGCCCUGCUCUACGAGGAAGCUCUGUACACUGUCCUACACCGCCUGGGUCAGCCGGAGCCCACCCACGUGACAGAGGCCUCUGAGCUGCUACAAUACCUUCAGGAGGCCUUCCACAUGGAACCUGAGGAGCACCAGAAGACACUGCAGCGGGUCAGGGAGCUCCAGAAGCCAAUAUUUUGUCUGAAGGCAACAGUGAAACAAGCCAAGGGCAUCCUGGGCAAGGAUGUCAGUGGGUUCAGUGACCCCUACUGCCUGCUGGGUAUUGAGCAGGGAGUUGGUGUGCCAGGGGGAAGCCCGGGGGCCCGGCGGCGGCAGAAGGCCGUGGUGAGGCACACUAUCCCCGAGGACCAGACCCACCGCACCCAGGUCAUCAGUCAGACACUCAACCCCGUCUGGGAUGAGACUUUUAUCCUGGAGUUUGAGGACAUCACCAAUGCAAACUUUCAUCUGGACAUGUGGGACCUGGACACUGUAGAGUCUGUCCGACAGAAGCUAGGGGAGCUCACAGAUUUACACGGGCUUCGCAGGAUCUUUAAGGAGGCCCGGAAGGACAAAGGCCAGGAUGACUUUCUGGGGAAUGUGGUUCUGAGACUGCAGGACCUGCGCUGCCGGGAAGACCAGUGGUACCCCCUGGAGCCCUGCACCGAGACCUACCCAGACCGUGGCCAGUGUCACCUCCAGUUCCAGCUCAUUCAUAAGCGAAGAGCCACUGCAGCCAGCCGCUCCCAGCCCAGCUACACCGUGCACCUCCAUCUUCUGCAGCAGCUUGUUUCCCAUGAGGUCACACAGCACCAGACAGGCAGCACCUCCUGGGAUGGAUCGCUGAGUCCCCAGGCGACCACCAUUCUCUUUCUCCAUGCCAUGCAGAAGGACCUAUCUGACUUCCACCAGUCCAUGGCGCAGUGGCUGGCCUAUAGCUGCCUCUACCAGAGCCUGGAGUUCCCUAGUGGCUGUCUUCUGCAUCCCAUCACCAGCAUUGAGUACCAGUGGAUCCAGGGCCGGCUCAAGGCAGAGCAGCGGGAGGAGCUAGCCACAUCCUUCCAGUCCCUGCUGGCCUAUGGCCUCUCCCUCAUCCGGAGAUUCCGCUCUGUCUUCCCCCUCUCAGUCUCCGACUCCCCAGCCCGGCUGCAGUCUCUUCUCAGGGUCCUGGUACAGAUGUGCAAGAUGAAGGCAUUCAGAGAACUGUGUCCAGACAGCGCCCCACUGUCCCAGCUGGUGACCGAGGCCCUGCGGACUGGCACUGUUGAAUGGUUCCACCUGAAGCAGCAGCACCAUCAGCCCAUGGUGCAGGGCAUGCUGGAGGCAGGCAAGGCCUUGCUGAGCCUAGUACAGGACAUUGUUGGCGACCUGCAGCAGUGCCAACGCACAUGGAACAAGAUCUUCCUCAAUGCCCUGAAGAUCGACCUCUUCUCUGCUGCUUUCCUAGAGCUGCAGUGGCUGGUGGCCAAGCGGGCCAAAGACCACACAGCAGCAGUCGGUAGCCCCGUGUCCCCAGAGAUGGGUGAAAGUCUGUUCCAGCUCUACAUCAGCCUCAAGGAGCUCUGCCAGCUGCACCCGGCGCCCUUGGAGAGGGAUGGAGUCCUGGCCCUGGAUGGUUUCCACUGCUGGUUCCAGCCGGCCAUCCCCUCCUGGCUGCAGAAGACGUACAGCGUGGCCCUGGCACGGGUGCAGCGUGCAGUACAGAUGGACCAGCUGGUGCCCCUGGGUGAGUUGACCAAGCAUAGCACAUCAGCUGUGGAUCUGUCCACCUGCUUUGCCCAGAUCAGCCACACUGCCCGGCAGCUGGACUGGCCAGAUCCAGAGGAGGCUUUCAUGAUCACUGUCAAAUUUGUGGAGGACACCUGUCGGCUGGCCCUGGUGUAUUGCAGCCUUAUAAAGACCCGGGCCCGUGAGCUCUCUGCAGGCCAGAAGGACCAGGCCCAGGCAGCCAACAUGCUGUGCGUGGUGGUGAAUGACAUGGAGCAGCUACGGCUAGUGAUCGGCAAACUGCCCACACAGCUGUCCUGGGAGACCCUGGAGCAACGGGUGGGGGCUGUGCUGGAGCAGGGGCAGCUACAGAAUACACUGCAUGCCCAGCUGCAGGGUGCACUUGCUGGGCUGAGCCACGAGAUCCGCACUGGUGUCCGUACCCUGGCUGAGCAGCUGGAGGUGGGCAUUGCCAAGCACAUCCAGAAACUCGUGGGCGUCAGGGAGUCUGUCCCACCUGAGGAUGCCAUUCUGCCCCUGAUGAAGUUCCUGGAGGUGGAGCUUUGCUACAUGAAUACCAACUUGGUGCAGGAGAACUUCAGCAGUCUUCUGACCCUGCUCUGGACCCACACGCUCACGGUGCUGGUGGAGGUGGCUGCCUCCCAGCGCAGCUCAUGUCUGGCUUCAAGCAGGCUGAAGAUUGCCCUGCAGAACCUGGAGAUUUGCUUCCAUGCAGAAGGCUGUGGCCUGCCGCUCAAGGCCCUGUACACAACCACUUUCCAGGCAGAUUCUUUGGAGGUACCUGUCCCCAGGCUCUGCAGAGGGACCUGGAGCUGCAGGCAGCCUCCAGCCGGGAGCUCAUCCAGAGGUAUUUCUGCAGCCGCAUUCAGCAACAGGAAGAAACCACCUCUGAGGAGCUGGGGGCUGUCACAGUCAAAGCCUCUUACCGUGCCUCUGAGCAGAAGCUGCGUGUGGAACUGCUCAGCGCCUCCAGCCUGCUGCCCCUGGAUUCCAAUGGCUCUAGCGACCCCUUUGUCCAGCUGACCUUGGAGCCCAGACAUGAGUUCCCUGAGUUGGCCGCCCGGGAGACCCAGAAACACAAAAAAGACCUUCACCCACUGUUUGAUGAGACCUUUGAAUUCCUUGUAUCUGCUGAGCCGUGCCGGAAGGCUGGGGCAUGCCUCUUGCUCACCGUGUUGGACCAUGACACACUGGGGGCUGAUGAUCUGGAAGGGGAGGCCUUCUUGCCACUGUGUGAGGUGCCUGGGGUGACUGGCUCUGAGGAGCCUGGCGAGGUCCCUCAGACCCGCCUACCCCUCACAUAUCCCACACCCAACGGGGACCCAAUUCUGCAGCUGCUGGAGAGCCGGAAGGGUGACCGAGAGGCCCAGGCCUUUGUGAGGCUGAGGCGACAGAGAGCCAAGCAGGCCUCCCAGCAUGCCCCAAGGGCAGGGCAGUAGCAGGGCAGGUUAAGGGUGAGGGUGGGGCUGGGUCCCCAAUAGGGAGCAGUCAGGGCUUUCUUGUAAGGUCUGGGGCUACCCCUCCCCCCAGCAUGUUAGUAUUAACACAGGCCCCCUGGGUCUCCCCACCAGAGCAGGGCCCAGUGAGAGGGGCACAUUGGCAUUGUCUCUGCUCUCCACCAUACCUAUCCAGGCCGUAACAUUUUCUGCCAUAUCCCAGCAGCAGAGGGAGCAUCUCGGGACCCUGAUCCCCUCUUGGAAAAACUGCUCUGGUGGUCAGGGUCUUAGGCCAUCUGUUUCCCAGCCUGCCUGUUCCAACCACUGGCAGCAAGAGGAGGGGAGGCUCACUGGGUCCAGGGCUAUAGACACAAAACCUUCUGGGAAAGGGAGAGGAGACCCUGCCAAGUAUAAGGCUCCACCUGCCCUGUGGGAGGAGGAGUGGUGUCCAUUACUAGAGGGAGCCUUGGUUCUUUCCCCAGGGGCUCUCUGAGAGAGAGAGCUGGCAGGCAACAGGGCUGGCAUGGAGGGAUGGAAGCAGCAAGGCCAGUUUGGCUAGCUUUGUGUAUGAGAAUACCUCCUCCCUAGGACAGCAUCUGCCACCUAGAAACUUUCUUAGCAAAAUAAACAAAUAAAACCAAUCCAUUGCCCAAAUUUUACUUUUGGCCUGCAGUGGGGCCCAGAAAGCUAGUCAGGCAGCAUUUCCUCCUUCCUUCCCUGAGGCCUGGCCUAUUCUUACUCCCCCAUGCUCCAAAGCCACAGACG